rnacentral:lncRNA from 1 species
UUCUACAAUCCGACCUCAAAUGGUCCUUCAAAUCCUCAAUCAAAGGUCUAACUUUCCAAGCCCUAGUUCUUUAUUUUUUGGCUUAAUUUCCAUGAUUAUUUAGGUGUAAUUCACAUUAGAAUCGAGUUUUAAGUCCGAAAAUCUUACCUCCCAAAUUUUUCCCUUGAAUCCCUCUUCAAUCCUAUUCAAAAAACUCCAAAAUCUCUCCAAAAUGGUGGAAGUUAGGUUGAAAGUCGUAGAAUAGCCUUUCUAAAACAUUCCCAAAACUUGUAGACAUAUCCCAAAACCUUAUUCAAACUUGUAUCAAUUUAUAAAACAGCUCAAGCAACAUCAAAACCCACCAAAACACAUCGAAUUCAAGCCUAAGGUUCUAAAAUCUUUCGCAUUCUACUUUUGAUAAAAAAAACCAACCAAACCGCAUCCGAAUGAACUGAAAUUUUGCACACAUAUCUCAAAUGACAUAGCAAAGCUAUUGAAAUUUCCGGAAUUCUAUUCCGAUCAAAAUCUCACUUACCAACCGGGAAUCGCCAAAAUGCCAACUUCGCCAAUUCAAACCUAAAUCUACUCCGAACCUCCAAAACGCAUUCCGAUCACGCUCCUAAGUCCCAAAUCACCUCCCAAAGCUAACAAACCAUCGGAACUCAUAUCCUAGCCCUCUAACACACAAGUCAACAUCCGGUUGACUUUUCUAACUUAAACUUCCUUAAAUAGACUAAGUGUCUCAAACCUUAUCAAAUCCUUUUCGAAGCCAAGCCAACUAACCCGAUCUCAUAAAGAAUUGAUAAACAAAGAAAUAAGAAGCAGGAAUUGGAAAAAUGGAGCGAUAACUCAUGAGAUGACUGGUCGGAUCAUCAUAGGCAUCCUAUUCAUCAUGAAUAUAAUAUUAAAUAACCCAGUCACUUAUUCCAAUCCGGCUCUACCCACGCACCUCCAAAGUUCAAUUGUAAUUUCGUCAGGCCCCGUAGCUCUGCCCUCCAAAGUUCAAUCGUAAUUUCGUCAGGCCCGGUAGCUCUGUCCAACAAUAACUAAAGUCAUGGAGACUUUCGGCAUUCCUCAACUCACAUAGAGAAAUAUCCUGACCCCCUUCUUUAUUUAGAAGUUUCUGAAAGUAGGCCUACCAUCUCCUCUUAAUCUGGUCAUUCCCCGUCAAAACUUUACCCUCCUCAUCUUUGAUGCACCUGACUUGGUCCAGAUCCCGAGCCCUGAUUUCUCUCACCUUAGCGAUCUGGAAUAACUACAUCUCCGGUCUAACUUAAGUUUUACUCAAAUGCGAGAAAUGUUUUGCAAAUGCGAAGGUCCCCCAUCUCAGGUGCCUUUGUAAAUGCGAACAUAAUGUUCGUAAAUGCAGAUGGUGAGGAUCUCAAAUGCGACCAAAGAUUUCGCAAUUGUGAAAGUCCACCUCCCAGCCUACUACUCGUAAAUGCAAUGGUUCCUUUGCAAAUGUGAGGCUCAGGUUUGCAAGCUAGACUUCGCAAAUGCGAAAUCCACAUAUUUAAUACACCAGCUAUGAUUUUCUAAAAUUAUUGCACUCUGUAGCCUAUGUAAAACUCAUUCGAGCCCUCGGGUCUUCAAACCAUACAUGCAUACAGGUCCAAAAAUAUCAUACGAACUUGAUCGUGCGAUUAAAUCUCCAAAAUAACACCUAGAACUAUGAAUUGAACACCAAAUCAAAUGAAAUUUUCAAGAAAACUUUAAAACGUCUAUUUGAAGAACCGAACAUCUGAAUCACGUCAAACCAACUCCGUUUCUCACAGAAUUUAACAGAUAAGUAUAACAUAUAAAAAUGGACAUAUACUAGGCUCCGAAACCAUAAUACGGAUCUGGUAUCAAUAAAAUCAAACAUCAAUCAAAUAUUAAAAUCAUUAAAUUUUCAAACUUUAAAUUUUCAAUAAAAAUUAAUAACUCUAACUCGGGACCUCCAAAUCUGAUUCCGGGCAUAUAUUCGGUCCCAAAUUACAAUAUGGACCCAAAUCAACUCAAGUGAAUUUUUAAGGCAAAAUUCUUAUUUUUAUCAGUUUCAACAUAAAAGCUUUCCAAAAAAUAUCUGAAUUGCGCACGCGAAUCAAUGAGAAUUAAGUUGAGGUAUUUAAGGCUUCGAAAUAUGGAAUUAAAUUUUAAAAUAUAAGAAGACAUUUAGGGCCAUCACAAUGACCAAAGCCUAUUAGUACUUAAUUAUUCUCAUAUUGGGUCAGAUUCAUGAAAUGAGAAGUUAAAAGAAAUAGAGCAUGAAAUAAGUUAUUUAUUUAUUUUAAUUUUGUUUUACUUUUACUUUUCUUACUUACCCGCUAGCAGCAUGUUUAGUCCGACCACACUUCGGUAGAAGAGACCUUUAGGAAGUUUAUAUUUUGUUUUCGAGGUUAAAGGUUGUUCCUUAGCUUAUUAUUUUAGCCAGGAAAUACCCCGAAGUACAUGUAUUUGGAGGCUAUGACGGAUAUCAUGGAGGAAGCACACUAUAGAUUGAUAUAGGAUCUUUAAUACUUUUUUUCUUUUCUUUUUUAUUUUAUUUAGGUGGGGACAACUUCAAAGCUCCUUUGUGUUUGUCUCUCCUUUUUAUGUGGUUUACCUUAAUUAGAAUAUUCUUAAAAGCAAACUCGAUCAAGUAUGCAAUUAUACUAGUUACGCGGACCGGAGAAUAUCUAACACAUUUUCCCUGAGUCAAAUGAACCCACUUACCUUGAAUUUCUAGUGCAAUCAUUUUCAGAGUCUAACAUGUUUCAAAAGAACCAACCAUUUGUAAAAACAGUGACCUGACACACCAAAACUGAACGUCAGGAGGCGAAUCUAAAAUUUCUUUUAAAACACAAUUUUGUCAAUUUUCAAUAUUGAAAAUCCUUUUGAGCUUCAAUUUUUUUUUUUUUUUGUUUAUUUUAAAGGGGUUAGUGAGGUAUAAAAGAAACUAAACAUAGACAAAAAAAUACAAAUCACACGAGCGGAAAGAUAUUAAGCAAGCUAGGACUCAACAAUAAAGUCUAUGGAAUAUGAAAUUUUUGAAAAUAUAAAUGUAAAUCAUACAAAAGGAAACAUAUUCAAUAUAUUGGAGUUUGCUACUCAUAAUCGUUAGAAUGCCUAAUAUCUUUCUAAUGAAUAUGCUGGAAAUAACUUAGUUUCAAUAGGGUAGUAUCAUAUAAGUUGGGAAUUAGGAUUUUAAGUUUAGUUACUUCUUGGAUGGUAACCAUUUCAUAAUUUCAAGGUCCAAGAAAAAGCUUCAUGUUUUAUUAUUUUUAAACUUAAUAUAUAAAUAUAUUUUUCCCAUGAAAAUUUAUUCGGUAUGGUUCGGUAUGUUUUUUAUUUAAUUUCAUAAAAUAAAAAAACCUACCAUAAUUAUCGGUACGAUUAUAUAUUCAUACAAAACUUACGAUUUUAUUAAAAGAAACCUAAAAAUCGAUUUGGUACAGGGCGUUGCGGUCGGUUUAGUCAGUUUUAGAAUAUCCGUUGACACCCCUAUUUGUUACAACAUCUUUAUAUUCCAUCUUUAGCUUGGAGCGGUAUUAUUAUGGACUUCAUUAAAGGUUUACCUAAGUCUAAGGGAAAAGAAGUCAUAUGGGUGAUAGUAGAUAGAUUAACUAAGUAUGCCCAUUUUGUUGGUUUGCCGCAUCCCUAUACUACUAUGGACAUUGCCAAACUCUUCAUGGAUCAUAUAUUUAAGUUACAAAGCAUGCCGGCAGACAUUGUUGGUGACAGAGAUCCAGUCUUUACUAGUAAAUUGUGGCAAGAACUAUUUUCAAUGCAAGAAAUAACCUUAAAUACAUCUACCGUUUAUCAUCCCCAAUCCAAUGGUCAAAUUGAGGUUAUCAACAUGUGUCUAGAGACAUAUAUGAGGUGCUAUGGUUCUGAUUCCCCCAAGGAUUGGGUUCAGUAAUUAACUAAUGGUGGUAGAAUACUACUGUCCACAUUAGUAUCCAAACAAUCUCAUAUGAAGCUUUGUAUCGGCACACUCCAGCUUUGCACUUACCAUGUACCAGGGUGAUUCAGAUGUAAUAGAGGUGGAUAUGUUUGAUCACAAGGGAGUUAAAACUACAAUUGUUAAAGUUUUACUUGGGAAGAUCUCAAUAAAGGAUGGUCGACAAGAUAGACAGUUCCAGAUAGGAGAAUAGGUCUACUUGAAGAUGCAAUCCUACAGACAAUUAUCUUUGCCAAGCAGACAUUUUAAUAAACUCUUUUAUAAAUAAUAUGGUACCUGUUAAAUCUUCUAAAAGAUUGGUAAUGUCGCUUACAAGCUAGCUUUAUCACACCAGUUACCCCUGCAUUCAACCUUCCAUGUUUCACUCUUUAAACCAUGCUAUUAAAUUUCAAAUUCUCUCCAUCUUCCACCAGUCCUAUACUUGUCCAGUCCCUACUGUCCAUAUCCAGCAAAGGUGUUAGAGCCGACGGAUGAUACAAAAAGAAAACAAAGCAGUGGUCCAGUAUUUAAUACAGUGGGCAAAUUUGCUUGAAGACCAAACAACAUGGAAAGACUCUAAUGUAUUGAAAGUCAGAUUACAACCUUCAUUCCUUGAGGUCAAGGAAUUCUUUUAAGGGGAGUACUAAUAUGAUCUGAGGAGUAGCUGAGUUGUGCACAGCUGCAGGAUGUAAUACUUUACGCUUUAGUAGCAGUAAGGAAUAAGUCGUUAAAUUAGUUGUAUAAUUUUGGGACAUUGACGGUUUGAUCCCUUACUUAUUUAGACUUAAGUCUAUUAGUUAUAUUACUUUACACUCAAGAUCUAUAUUUCUAAUUGAGUUGGUAUAUAUAUCAGAAGGGUGUUCAGUGAGAAAUAUGAAAAGAAUGACUUUCUAUUUUCUUCUAAUUCUCUUUAAUUUACCCUUUUUUUUUUGUUAAACAUUUCUAUCCAUUGAUAUUCCAAAAAAAUAUUUACAGUUGAAGUUUCAGUAAGAGAUUGGACUACUCCUACUCAUUUACAUCAUUCUUCUAUACUAAAUUCUAAUUUUCUCUAAGUACAUUAUAGUAUAGGAUUUCCUAGUAAACUAGAAGCUAAGGAUAUUUGUUGAGUUUGUCCAGUCCAGCUUGCCAUUUCCUGCAGUUUCUGCCUCGGAUAUGAAUUGAUAAGGCUAUUUCUCUGCACAGUAGAGAUGCAUCAAAAUCAUAGUAUAGGAUUUCCUAGUAACUAGAAAACUAAGGAUCUUUGUUGAGUUUGUCCAAUCCAGCUUGCCAUAUCCUGCAGUUUCUGCCUCGGAUAUGAAUUGAUAAGGCUAUUUCUCUGCACAGUUGAGAUGCAUCAAAAGUUGUCCUAUUAAAUCUGAUGUUGUUCCUUUCUCUCUAGAUAAGAGCCACAGUGUUUAUGAAGGCACAUGCUGUAAUACUAUUAAGUGUCACUCUACUCUUGGCCUUGCUGCACACCCACAGCAUUUCUGUUUCCCAGUUCCCCACAGUCCUAUGGUGUCCCAGCCAGGAGCACAGUCUGUUCCACAAGUUCUUAGUGACUGGGCAGUCAAAGAACAGGUGGCUAAAUGUCUCACUGCUUUGAUCACAGAAUACACAAUUUCCAGGAACUUGGAUUCCAAUCUUCUGUAGUCUGUCAAUUAUAGGUAGUCUUCCUUGGGCAGCUAACCAGACUGUAAAUUUGUACCUUGGUUGAGCUUGAGCAAGUAAAACCAGGUUCUUCCAAGUAACCUUACUAUAAGCAGGAGUUCGGGAACUUGAAUUCCAAUCUUCUGUAGUCUGUCAACUGUAGGUAGUCUUCCUUGGGCUGCUAGCCAGACUAUAAAUUUGUACCUUGUUUGAGCUUGGGCAAGUAAAACCAGGUUCUUCCAAGCAACCUUGCUAUAAACAGGAGUCAAUGCCAGGUAUAACUUCUGGAUAAGGAAUUGAUCCAGUCUGCAGAAGCCUUGCAAUCUACUGAAGAGGUUACCUUGAAUUAGUUGAGAUCCCAUUAGGUCAUCCCUUCUAUCCAGUAUCUUCUUUACCACCCAAGAAGUUGUCUUGUGUAAGGGAAUUGUUUCUAAGUCUCUCUACUUGAUGUAGUAGCUAUGCACCCAUCUAAUCCAUAAGCAAUCCUUCUUUUUUGCCAAGUUCCUGAGGUGUUUGCUGAUUGCAGCCUUAUUCCAGACUGUCAUAUCUAUAAUAUUUAGUCCACCUGCAGAGAUAGGCCUACAAACACUGUCCCAUGCCACUAAUGCCUUUCUGGACAGCUUCACACUCCCAGUCCAAAGAAAUGUUCUGCAAAUAGUUUCAAUGGCUUUUAACACUUUCUUAGGAAGGAUAAACACUUGAGCCCAAUAAGUUUGAAUGCCAAAUAUGACUGAUUAGUUCUGCAAAUAGUUUCAAUGGCUUUCAAAACUUUCUUAGGAAGGAUAAACACUUGAGCCCAGUAAGUUUGAAUGCCAAAUAUGACUGAUUUAAUGAAUUGACAUCUUCCAGCAUAAGAAAGCAACUUGGCAGACCAGCAUGUUACUUUAGCUGUUAUCUUCUCAAUAAUUGGUAGAUAGUGGCCAACAGAUAGUUUUUUGGAGUCAAGGGGGAUCCCCAGAUAUCUGAAAGGCAGUUUGCCUUCAAUGAAUCCCAAAGCUUCCAGAAUCUGAUCCUUGUCAUCCUGUGUAACUCCAGCUAUAUACAAUGUACUUUUUGACAGAUAUGCUUGCAAUCCUGAGGCAUUAGAGAACUUGAGGAAGGCUUCCCUUAGGAUUUGGACAGACACCAGAUCAGCUCUACAAAACAUUAGUAAAUCAUCAGCAAAGCAAACAUGUGUACAGUUUAGUUUCCUGCAUUUUGGGUGAAAGUUGAAGUCACCAUUUGUGUGUAGUUGCCCCAGUAUCCUGUUGAGGUAUUCCAUGGCUAGUACAAAUAGGUAGGGUGACAUAGGGUCACCUUAUCUAAUACCCCUUUUAACUUUGAAAGGCUUUGUGUGGCCACCAUUAAGCAUGAGGUAAUUUUUGGCCAUUCUCAUAGUUUAAAGGCAAAUUUGAUCCUUGUUUUCCCUGUUAAACGGGCUGAGUUGUAAAUAUUUUUAUUAGAGACUAAGCUUUUAUGUUAGUGAUAAAUCUGAUCUCAAUUAUAAAAGGAUGAUAAAUUUUGAUCAUUUCACGUAGUUCAAGGAUAUUUUUAAAUAUUUUUUCUAAUUUCAUUUGAUUUGAUUGAUUGGACAUUUGGCCAAUUUUUUAGUCAAUGAAGGAACCUUUUGGCUCCCCUCUAACAACUUUCCAACUCAAUUAAUUGGCGCUUCAUUUACGACCCUUAUAGGAAUGAUUUCGUGCAGCAUGAAGAUAAUUUUCUUUGAGAAAUUUAACCAAAUUCCAUCUUUUAAGACAGUGUUAAAUCCGUGUGCCAAAGUCAAGUUUAAAAUUUCUUAUACUACCAAUUUUUUUUAUCAAUGCCAUUAUUUAUUGCCAUCAGUGGUGAACAUGGAAUGGCUUUUUGACAUGUCGAUGAAACAAACGCGUAAACCUUUGAGUCUACAAGGCACUACACGUGGAGAAAAGAAAAAAGGCUAAAAGCACUGCACACGGCGUAAUUCUUUGCUUGAUGACUUUGGACAUGAAUUAAUAGUCUUUGAUUCAGAAAAAAAAAUCAAUUCUUGAACAUAGUAAUCAACGUUACAAUAGUUGAAAAAACGAGGAAGUUAAUUCCUUCUUUAUAUUUGUAAAAAUAAAAUAUUGCAAAUUAUAAAAAAAAGAUCAGUAAUCAAUUAAAUUAGAUCGGAGAGUAAUCUAAUCACGAAAUUAGUCACUUAAAAUUCAAUUUACAUUAAUAAAAGUUUUUAAAAAGUAAUUGUAGAAUACUGUAUUUAAUAAACACGAAUAAUAACGUAUUGUAUCAAGUUAAAUUACAUUAAUAGGGUAAUUAUAAUAUUAUCAAUUUAGCAUGUGAUAGAAUUUUUUUAUAGUAUUAUUUUUAUUAAUUAAUAUUUGUGAUAAAAAAAAUUCAUCUGUGUUUCUCUUAUAAAUAACUUUUUGAAUCUUCAAUGUACAUAACUCGUACGUUAUAAAUAAAAAUAUCCCGAUAAAUAACUACACCAUUAAACACAGUUGACGGCUACAGAAAAACAAGCGACCUGUCAAAAUUGAUCAAAUUACACGGAGUCGGAGUGCGUAAAAGAGAUCAAUCUCACAAUGUGCAAUUUUGAAGGCAAAAAUUCGGGAUUUUUGUUCUAGAAUAAGAGGCACAACGUUUUCAUGAUCUUCAUUUGACUAUUUUUCAACUCCACUAGGUAUGAACUGGUAGCGUACAGAUCUAAUUUGAGUAUUAUAAUAUUUGCAUAGAGCAUAAAGAUCCGUUCCAGUCUUUAAAUCUAGGAUAUACUAUUAAAAAGGUACUGCUCCCCUCGUUCUCUUACCAUUCAGCUCGGCCUUUUCAGCACUUUCUUAUACAAUUAAAUACUCCACUAACUUUCUUGGAUCAAUCUCCUUAUUCCUUUACUCUUCUUACAACCAAGAUUGGAUCAUAUUCUCACUUCUCUUCUUGACCGACACUUUGAUUUUCCGUUCGUGGGUAUAAGAUUUCAGAUCUCUUUUUAUUCUCUUAACAUUCCACUCUUGUACUUUCUUGUUCCUUUUCUGACUUCAGUAUUAGUACAUUUUUUAUUUUUUUCAACUUUUGGUUUGUGUUUAGGUAAUUUGGGAUCCGGUCAUAUUUGAAUGUUUGGUUUGAGUUCAACUUUAUUUUGAUUUUUUGAGUAAUAGUUGACCCCAACAUUUUUUAUCUUUUUCAACUUUUGGUUUGUGUUUAGGUAAUUUGGGAUCAGGUCAUAUUUGAAUGUUUGGUUUGAGUUCAACUUUGUUUUGCUUUUUUGAGUAAAGAGAUUUCAUAUAGUUAACCCCAACAAAUUUUAGAAUUGAGACAUAUGUGAUCGAUUGGCUUGUAUGUUUCAUUUUCGGUAGCUUUUCGAGUAAAGAACUUGUCUUUUUGUACCCUUUUGUGGGUUUUGUGUGAUAAUAUCUACUGUAUUGUAAUUGUACUGAGACAUAUUUGUUUGUGUUCAGCUUUGUGUUGCUAACUUUUGUGGUUUUUGUGUUACGAUGUGCACUGUAUUGUGUAGUGUGUAAUGUGGGGUUUUGAUCUUUGGAUAAGCAGGUGAAAAAUGGCUCAGAUUCUGCUUCAUGGAACUCUCCAUGUCACAAUCUACGAGGUCGAUAAUCUGCAAAAAGAGGGAGGUGGCCACUUCUUCAGCAAGGUAUACAUAUGAUCUAUUUGUUCUUAAUCAACUUGGAUCACGAGGGCAUCUUAUUCAAUUUAAAUUUUUGUUUCCCUCAUUUGUUGCCUAGAUUGAGUGCAAGGUAUGAAAGAUUUGAUCAGUUGUUCCAAAAUUAGUACUUUUUUGUAUGGCUAACACUCUUAAACAGCUUUAUUAAAAGUAAGAGCCAUCAUGAUGCAAAGCUAGGGGUAGGACAUACCAACAUAUUGGAUGCUAAAAUUAGUAUCUUAAUUGCAAUUUGGCUGUUGUAGCAUUAUAUCAAUAUAUGUUUGGUAAUGUUUUAAUUUUUCAUAACAUGUAUGCUUCACUUCUCACGUUUCGCUUCAAACCCCAUGAACCUUGUCUGUUUUUUUUUGGCACUUUUUGCUUUUAAAAACAUUGCUCUUAGACCCCUCGUGCAAUGAGCUUAAUUGAGCUAACUAUAAGUUAUGGCACUUACAAAGAGUGUACUCUCUAUCGUAGCUGCUAAAUUAUAGUGAGAUUCUUACACUAGUUCUGGACUUAAGUAGCUUCCUUCUCAGACCUUGUGUUUACACCUAAGCCUUCUCUUAAAACACCAUAAAGCCAGCGCGCAUUAUGAAACACAGUCAGUUGGAUCAUAUAAAGGAGUCCAUGAUUCACAUGUAUGCUUAAGUUAAUUUUAGCAUUUUGGCGAUUUCCUGAGGUUAAAUAACCUAGUAGAAGGUAAUUAUUGGUUACAACUAUCUGCUAAAACAGAUUUUGUUGAUUCUCCACUUCUCUUUCAAGUAUCAACGUAUCGAAUGUAUAAUUUGUAAUGAAUCUGUUUCUUUAAAUUCCUGAAAGUCAUCAGCACACAAACAUUUGCUUGUGGUAUAUGUGCAAGCAUAGUUUCGUGAUACAGAAUCAAAAAAAAGAAUCCGGCAGUUCUACCAUAUGAAUAACCUAUGUUUAAAGCUGCUGGAGAAAUUUACCCAUGCCCUAUCUUCUUCAGAAAAACUUCUACCCAAUUAUAGGUGCAAUAGAUUUCUUGUGCUAAUUGGUCCCUUCGUCCAUCCUCUCUCCUCUCUUUGUUCUGUAGUAUGAUGAAUCUAGAGAUAUGAGAUUUGUGGAAGUACUUGAUCUCCAUCAUUCUACUGUUGGAAAAAUAAAGCUGUUAUACAAGGAUCCAUCUAGAUAUUAUGUGUUUGUGUUGCCAGAUAAAAUCUGCUAUUUAAGUAGGAGCAGGGUAUAAAGGUGGGCUCAUACUGACUACACUCUGAGUUCAAUAUCAUAGUCCAGAAUUUUGGGUACCUCAUAUUUCAGCUAAAUAUAUGAACUCCUGAAUCUUUUUCAUUAACAUAUAUAAGUCUCUGUAAUUCUCUGACCAUAGAGUAUAUGCAUUACUAAUAAAACAUAGGCAUCUUUCUCUUUUAAUGUAAUUAUAUGUUUAAGAACUUUACUAGCCAUUUUUCUUGAUAAAAAGAUUUUCUCGGAAUUCUAAUCCUGAUUUGGCUAGAAUAGAGUCCUUCCUGAGGAAAUGAUUGCCCCUUUUAUGACAAAAUUUGAAAUCUCAUUGCAGAUAAAGGAACAUGUUGAGGAGACAAUUGGUCUUGGAAAAGGUACUCCUGAAAUUUAUGCUACAGUUGAUUUGGAAAAGGCCAGGGUUGGGAGAACCAGAAAGAUUAAAAAUGAACCAAAAAAUCCGAGGUGGUAUGAGUCUUUUCACAUUUACUGUGCACAUAUGGCUUCAAAUGUUAUAUUCACUGUCAAAGAUGACAAUCCCAUUGGUGCAACCUUAAUUGGAAGAGCUUAUGUACCAGUUGAAGAACUUUUGGAAGGGGAAGAGAUUGAUAAAUGGGUUGAGAUACUGGAUAGAGAAAUGAAUCCUAUAGAAGAAGGUUCCAAAAUCCAUGUGAAGCUACAGUUUUUUGAUGUCAGUCGAGAUCCUAACUGGGCACGUGGCAUUAGAAGUUCUAAAUAUCCUGGCAGAAGGUUCCAAAAUCCACGUGAAGCUACAGUUUUUUGAUGUCAGUCGAGAUCCUAACUGGGCACGUGGCAUUAGAAGUUCUAAAUAUCCUGGAGUCCCUUACACUUUCUUUGCACAGAGAACAGGAUGCCGGGUUUCCUUGUAUCAAGAUGCGCAUGUGCCAGACAAUUUUAUUCCUAAAAUCCCUCUCUCUGGAGGAAAGUAUUAUGAGCCCCACAGAUGUUGGGAAGAUAUCUUUGAUGCUAUUACUAAUGCAAAGCACUUGAUAUAUAUUACUGGCUGGUCAGUGUAUACUGAAAUAACCUUGGUGAGGGACUCGAGGAGGCAGAAGCCCGGAGGUGACAUUACACUUGGGGAGCUGCUCAAGAAGAAGGCAAGUGAAGGUGUUAAAGUUCUUAUGCUUGUUUGGGAUGAUAGGACGUCCGUGGGUUUGCUGAAGAAGGACGGUUUGAUGGCUACUCAUGACCAAGAAACCGAACAGUUCUUUCAAGGUACCGAGGUGAACUGUGUCCUCUGCCCUAGGAAUCCUGAUGACGGCGGAAGCAUUGUUCAAAGUUUACAAAUAGGUACUAUGUUUACGCAUCACCAGAAAAUCGUGGUAGUGGACAGUGAGCUGCCCAGCGGAGAGUCGGAAAAGAGAAGGAUUCUGAGCUUUGUGGGUGGUAUUGAUCUUUGUGAUGGGAGAUAUGAUACACCUUUCCAUUCACUUUUUAGGACAUUGGACACUGCACACCAUGAUGAUUUCCACCAACCUAAUUUUCCUGAUGGAGCAAUUACCAAAGGUGGACCAAGGGAGCCCUGGCAUGACAUUCACUCUCGGCUUGAAGGCCCAAUUGCUUGGGAUGUUCUGUUUGUGGAGCUAUUACCAAAGGUGGACCAAGGGAGCCCUGGCAUGAUAUUCACUCUCGGCUUGAAGGCCCAAUUGCUUGGGAUGUUCUGUUUAAUUUUGAACAGAGGUGGAGAAAGCAGGGUGGAAAGGAUGUUCUAGUCAACUUUAGAGAGCUUGAUGAUAUUAUAAUUCCCCCAUCUCCGGUGAUGUACCUUGAUGAUUCUGAAACAUGGAACGUUCAGUUAUUCAGAUCUAUUGACGAGGGAGCUGCUUUUGGCUUUCCUGAGACGCCUGAAGAUGCAGCAAAAGCUGGUCUUGUCAGUGGGAAGGAUAAUAUAAUUGAUAGAAGCAUCCAAGAUGCUUAUAUUCAUGCUAUUCGUCGAGCAAAGAAUUUUAUUUACAUUGAAAACCAGUAUUUUCUUGGAAGCAGUUAUGACUGGCAGAGUGAUGAUAUCAAGAAAGAGGAGAUAGGUGCUUUGCAUGUCAUUCCAAAGGAACUUGCUUUGAAGAUUGUCAGCAAGAUUGAAGCUGGGGAAAGGUUUACUGUUUAUGUUGUAGUCCCAAUGUGGCCAGAAGGAAUCCCUGAGAGCGCUUCAGUACAAGCAAUAUUAGAUUGGCAGAGGAGAACGAUGGAGAUGAUGUAUAAGCACAUUGUUCAGGCUUUGAAUGCUAAAGGAAUAGAGGAGGAUCCUAGGAAUUAUUUGACAUUUUUCUGCAUUGGUAACCGGGAAGUGAAGAAGAGUGGAGAAUAUGAACCUUCUGAGACCCCAGAGCCGGAUUCUGAUUACAUGCGAGCUCAGGAGGCUCGACGCUUCAUGAUCUAUGUCCAUUCCAAGAUGAUGAUUGGUGAGUAAUGGUUUGCAAUUUUAGUUCUAUCUUAUUAUUUGAAAAAAAUAGUACUAACUUUAUUUCUGAACAGUUGAUGACGAGUACAUCAUAAUUGGAUCAGCCAACAUAAACCAGAGAUCGAUGGACGGUGCUAGAGAUUCUGAAAUAGCCAUGGGAGCUUACCAGCCUCAUCAUUUGGCUACAAGGGAACCAGCUAGGGGUCAAAUUCAUGGUUUCAGAAUGGCAUUGUGGUACGAGCACCUUGGUAUGCUCGAUGAAACCUUUCUACAUCCAGAAAGUGAGGAAUGUGUGACCAAGGUGAAUCGGAUGGCUGAUAAAUACUGGGAUUUGUAUUCAAGUGAGAGCCUGGAAAGAGAUCUGCCUGGUCACUUGCUUCGUUACCCCAUUGGAGUGGCCAGUGAAGGGGAUGUCACGGAGCUACCGGGAACUGAGCAUUUCCCCGACACCAAGGCCCGUGUUCUUGGUACUAAAUCUGACUACCUUCCUCCUAUCCUCACUACAUAGGUGGAUUAUUAACGUGUUGACUUGUUAUGCGAAGUGAGAUUAUGAGCUCAUAUAUUACUUCAGCCGCUGUUUGUUGUGGAAUAAUACAUGAUAGUUACUUGUUUUUUAACAUUUCUGUUGGGCAUUUUGUUGGACAGUACACUUGAGUUUGUAUGAGGUUUCUUUAUGUUGACUGGUCUUUAUUGUAGUUCACUCUUUAACAUUUUACGUUCGUGUUUUGGAAGGCGAUUUCGAAAACUAUAGCCCUGUAAUGCUUUCCUCGAGUUUUUAUCCCAGCUCCAUUUGUGUUGAAUUUGGUUCUUGCUUUUUCAUUGAAAAUGAAACAUGAGCUGUUUCACUUCUCCUAUAUUUGCACAUUAAAUGAUUUUGAAUUAAUUAUAAUUUCU